rnacentral:rRNA from 1 species
GACGUAGGAGGCGAGCGUUGUCCGGAUUCAUUGGGCGUAAAGAGCGCGCAGGCGGCUUGGUAAGUCGGAUGUGAAAACCCGAGGCUCAACCUCGGGCGUGCAUCCGAAACUGCUCGGCUAGAGGUAGGUAGGGGAGAUCGGAAUUCCUGGUGUAGCGGUGAAAUGCGCAGAUAUCAGGAAGAACACCCGUGGCGAAGGCGGCUCUCUGGGACGGUACUGACGCUGAGACGCGAAAGCGUGGGGAGCGAACAGG